rnacentral:rRNA from 1 species
UAAGGAAUAUUGGUCAAUGGGCGCAAGCCUGAACCAGCCAUGCCGCGUGCAGGAAGACGGCCCUAUGGGUUGUAAACUGCUUUUGUACCGGAAUAAACCCUUUUACGAGUAAGAGGCUGAAUGUACGGUAAGAAUAAGGAUCGGCUAACUCCGUGCCAGCAGCCGCGGUAAUACGGAGGAUCCGAGCGUUAUCCGGAUUUAUUGGGUUUAAAGGGUGCGUAGGCGGCCUAUUAAGUCAGGGGUGAAAGACGGUAGCUUAACUAUCGCAGUGCCUUUGAUACUGAUGGGCUUGAAUGUACUUGAGGUAGGCGGAAUGUGACAAGUAGCGGUGAAAUGCGUAGAUAUGUCACAGAACACCAAUUGCGAAGGCAGCUUACUAAAGUAUAAUUGACGCUGAGGCACGAAAGCGUGGGGAUCAAACAGGAUUAGAUACCCUGGUAGUCCACGCCCUAAACGAUGAACACUCGAUGUUGGCGAUAUACGGUCAGCGUCUAAGCG